CUUGACACUGAACAUUGAGCCUUGAUGUGUAGGAUAGGUGGGAGACUAUGAAAUGUGGACGCCAGUCUGCAUGGAGUCAACUUUGAAAUACCACCCUUUAACGUUUGAUGUUCUAACGUAGGCCCGUAAUCCGGGUCGGGGACCGUGUCUG
rnacentral:rRNA from 1 species